GACGAACGCUGGCGGCGUGCUUAACACAUGCAAGUCGAACGAAGUGGCGAACGGGUGAGUAACGCGUAAUUAACCUGCCCUUCAGAGGGGGACAACAGUUGGACACGACUGCUAAUACCGCAUACUGAAGGAGGGGAUUGCGUCUGAUUAGCUAGUUGGCGGGGUAACGGCCCACCAAGGCGAUGAUCAGUAGCCGGUAUGAGAGGAUGAACGGCCACAUGGGGACGGAGACACGGCCCAGACUCCUACGGGAGGCAGCAGUGGGGGAUAUUGCACAAUGGGCGAAAGCCUGAUGCAGCGACGCCGCGUGAGUGAGGACGGCCUUCGGGUUGUAAAGCUCUGUUAAUCGGGACGCGGUACCGGAAUAGAAAGCCACGGCUAACUACGUGCCAGCAGCCGCGGUAAUUC
rnacentral:rRNA from 1 species